rnacentral:sRNA from 1 species
GCUGGGUGUGGUGGCUCACACCUGUAAUCCCAGCCCUUUGGGAGGCUGAGAUGGGUGGAUCACCUGAGGUCAGGAGUUCGAGGCCAGCCUGGCCAAAAUGGUGAAACCCCGUCUCUA